rnacentral:rRNA from 1 species
GAGUUUGAUCCUGGCUCAGGAUGAACGCUGGCGGCGUGCUUAACACAUGCAAGUCGAGCGAAGCACUAGAACAGAUUUCUUCGGAAUGAAGUUUUCGCGACUGAGCGGCGGACGGGUGAGCAACGCGUGGGUGACCUGCCUCAUACAGGGGGAUAACAGACAGAAAUGUCUGCUAAUACCGCAUAAGCGCACAGUGCUGCAUGGCACAGUGUGAAAAACUCCGGUGGUAUGAGAUGGACCCGCGUCUGAUUAGCUAGUUGGUAAGGUAACGGCUUACCAAGGCGACGAUCAGUAGCCGGCCUGAGAGGGUGAACGGCCACAUUGGGACUGAGACACGGCCCAAACUCCUACGGGAGGCAGCAGUGGGGAAUAUUGCACAAUGGGGGAAACCCUGAUGCAGCGACGCCGCGUGAAGGAAGAAGUAUUUCGGUAUGUAAACUUCUAUCAGCAGGGAAGAAAAUGACGGUACCUGACUAAGAAGCCCCGGCUAACUACGUGCCAGCA